UACGUAGGGUGCAAGCGUUGUCCGGAAUUAUUGGGCGUAAAGAGCUCGUAGGCGGUUUGUUGCGUCGGCUGUGAAAUCCCGAGGCUCAACCUCGGGUCUGCAGUCGAUACGAGCAAACUAGAGUGUUGCAGGGGAGACUGGAAUUCCUGGUGUAGCGGUGAAAUGCGCAGAUAUCAGGAGGAACACCGGUGGCGGAAGGCGGGUCUCUGGGCAACAACUGACGCUGGAGGAGCGAAAGCGUGGGAGCGAACAGG
rnacentral:rRNA from 1 species